rnacentral:rRNA from 1 species
AACGGCCGUACCAUGCUGAAUAUACCGGUUCUCGUUAGACCACCGAAGUCAAGCAUCAUUGGGCGCGGUCAGUAUUUGGGUGGGUGACCACCUGGGAACACCGCGUGCCGUU